CAAGAGCUGACGGCCACAGAACAUGGCAAUCUGCGACUCUGCCACCUGGGAGCCUGGUCCAUUCACCUCAGUCAUGGACAGAGCCUAGAGUGAUGUGGGGAGGAGAGAGGAAAGAGAGAGAGGGAGACAUAUGAGAGACAGAGACAGACCUACUGACGACAGACAAGACCAGCGACGCUGAGCCAAUUAGAAGGAAGUUGCCCGACGGGAAGAAACGGAGGAGAAAAAAUCUGGGAGAGUGACGCCUGAUCAAAGGGAAGCCCUGCUUUGGCCGACCAGAGCUCAAGUGUUUGAAGUCCUAAUUAAAAUUCAUACAGAAUAAAAUAAAUAUAUAAAAUCCUUUGAGUAAAUGUACAAUAAAUAUGAUAAGCCCUGAGCAGUCUGUGCAUUAUAAUUAUGCUAAGAGGAGUUUGUGUUUCUGCAUGUCCUAGCAGAUUUCUUACAAAUUACGGAUCUACUUUUCAUUACUGCUGACCAUUUCCCAAAGCAUAUCAGUGUUUUUAGAUUUAUGAAUGCAUUUUCCUUGCCUUUUAUUUUUUUCUUGUCGUAUACUCUAUGGUGCAUGUCCUAUUGCUUGAUUUUAUCUGACAAAACUGCUCUCUAAAACAAUGCAAUUUUUGCAGCCAAUUCUAAAGUUCUCGAUGUGAGCACUAGCUGACAUCUCUGCUGUGAUGGAUUACUCAUCUCAAGCAAGUUGACAAGUUAACAAUUCCUGUUACUGAUCUGCCCACAGCCUAAAUGAAUGGAAAGUGUGGCUCCUUAGAAGAUACAGAAAUCAUAAUCAAGAAUAAAAACCAAACAGUAUGCUUUGGAAAACUGCAGAUUUGACUGAUGACUUUCAGUAAGUUCACAGAUACAUUUAACUUUUAUCUUUAGUUUCACAGUGAGAAACACUAUAUUCUCCUGAACUUAAAUGGCUGUGUUAGUUAGUGACUGUGCUGAAUUGGAGCUUUUAAUUAGUUAACUGUAUUGUAGGAUAAGCGAAAGUAAAUGCUGCUGAAGCUGCUGAAACAGUCUGUCUAGUGUAGCUGCUGAGCAUACGUCUAAACAGAUAUAUCUCUUUGACUCAGGGAAGGUCAGUGCCACAGAGAAAAAAAAAAGAAAAGAAGAGGAAAAAAAAACACUUCCGGAUAUUUGAGAAGAUAACCUGGCAGCUCCCUCUGGUCCAGCUCUCUCAUUUGGCCUGCUCUCCACUACUGCACUUGCAGAAAAUCAAUGCUGAGCGACUGCAACUGUAUCGCCACGUUCCCCCAAUCAAUAGUAGUCCAUCAGGAGCCUGAGGCCCUGACCUCCAGAACGGCAAGGCCGCACGUCCAAUCUCCAGCCUGAUCUGAGACCAGAUUAGAUCCUUUCUCAUGAUAACCACUAAUAAGAAAUAGUUUGAAAAUCAGUUUUAAAAUGUACACUUGUGUUGGUCUGUUCCUUCAUGCCAGCAGCACUCGACAUCACUCGUUGUGAUUGUUCAUAUGGACCCACUCUGCUCUGCGGUGUCAGUGCUUGUAGGCAGGUAUGUUAUGCAGGUGGUUCAUCGUAUUCUCAAAGCAACAGCACAAACUGUCAUCAGCACACAUAUGACCCUGGUGACAAUGGUGAGAAUACUUUUAGCAAGCAUCAGUUGCUGCACAGAAAUGUCAUUUGUGGGAUAUCUUUAUUCACAAGGUGCAUGGUGGUGAUUGGUCAUACUGUGGACUAAUUUUUUGUGAAAAUAGAAACUAACUUGGGAAAUACGUUAAUGUAAUAUCAAGGAGUCUGGGAAACAUCUAGCAAGACUGUGCUGCAACACCGGCAUGAUGAUAGAAGCCAGAUUUCAUUCCAAUGAAUGUUAUUGUUGACUGUACUUGAUUCAAGAACAUUCUGUUUUCAUUUGCUUUAAUUACUGUUUUACACUAAACUGUAUAGCUUUUAUAGUUAAACAAGGCACUUUCAUUUUAAGACACAUUUUUCCCAGUACAAUUAAUUGCCUUACCAUUCUUAAGCCCACAUCACAUAUUAGUGAUAUUUCUGUAAAAUCAACUCCAAUAUCCAACCUGAAUCUAAGCCAGGAAAUAACUGCACAAAUAUUUAUGUGCUCUGUGCUGUUCUUCUAUGAGACAGGACAGCAGAGAGAAUCUGCCAAGUUGCUAAUCUUGUUUAAAUGACAAAUUGGUCGGUAAACAACAAGCAGAGUCCACCUGAUAACAGAGUCAAUUGGAAAAGAAGGUCUGCAGGGAUUGUCGAUGAGAGAGGAAAACAGAGCAGGGAAGCUAAUGUGUAAUAAGAUGUGGUGCUGUUUUCAAUGAAAAGAACCCAAAACGUCUGCACACUUAUUUCUUUAAUCCAACAGGAUUAACCACUAUAGGGUGGAUUGCCAUAAAAUAUUGUACAGUGAUUCAUGGUCCCCAGAGUAUGGAGCCAACAUACCUGAUGACUUCAUCCUUGGUAAUGAUGCAAUCUCCUGGCCCUGGCAGGCAAGCCACAGCAGUAGAGGCUGAGAGAAGCAGCCCACCCAUCAUUUGUCACCUUUUACAAGUUGCUGCCAGACUGUACAGUGGAGAACCGUCACAUAAAUGCAUCAGAGGCUUCAAGAUACAGUCUUUUAGCACUGAGGUGCAGGCAGCUUGAUUGAUACCUGAUAAUUAACUGGAGACAUCGGACCUCAUGAGGAGCUAAUCCCUACUUCACAACGGGGAUCUGGGAUAUCUUCUCUAACCAAAUGAACCAUGUAGCAACAACGUAAUGAAACAACAAUGUAAAUGUAAAACAUCUUCCAGCAUCAGUUUGUUUACCCCAUUUGGGUCUGUUAUAUUUUGGUUUGACCUAACAGAAAUCUAAUUAUACUUUAAAGAUUUAGAGUUAUGAAAUUACACCAGGGGUUCUUGCACAUCUGGUGCAUAUGUGCAGCUUCUUCAAGGGGAAUAAAGAAGGGAAGUGGUGUCGCGGCUAUGGCUGCCCCUACAGUUAUGUCCUUUGUGUUUCCCUCUUCCCUUGUGCCUCUUGUUUUCCCCUGCCUGUCUGUGUGUAUAUGUGUGGGCAUGUGUGUCAUGUGGGUGUAGCUUCCUUCCUGGCAGCUCCAUCCUGAUUGUAGCUCAUUCAUAUUGCUUUCCCAGUCUAAACACCUGCCUUCAAUCUACUCAUCAGCUCAGCAGUACUUUUUGUAGCCAGAGCAUUGUUUCUGCAACAGUGGGUUUUCUGUGAUUAGCCUGUGCUUUUCUGUGCACCUAAAGAUCAACUCAUGUCAUGUCCACCGGCAAUCCCUGCUCACCUCCUUCCCAGCAAUGACCUGCCAUCCACAUUUCACCAAUUAAAAUGUCCUAAAACUCA